rnacentral:misc_RNA from 1 species
UACAGAGACCUCAAGCGUUGUCCGGAUUUAUUGGGCGUAAAGCGUCCGCAGACGGUUUAGUACGUCUUGCGUCAAAUGUCGGAGCUUAACUCCGACACUGCGUGGGAUACGGCUAAGCUAGAGGUUGGGAGAGGCAAACGGAAUUGCCGGUGUAGUAGUAAAAUGCGUUAAUAUCGGCAAGAACACCAAUUGCGAAGGCAGUUUGCUAGAACAAACCUGACGUUCAUGGACGAAAGCGUGGGGAGCGAAAGGG